GAGGGUGUAGCUCAGCGAAAGAGCAUGUGCUCAGCAUGCACGAUGUCCUGGGUUCGAUCCCCAGUGCCUCCA
rnacentral:tRNA from 1 species